rnacentral:rRNA from 1 species
UAGCCUUGACAUGCAAGUAGUAGAAGUGUGAAAGCGCGACGAGGUAGCAAUACCAGCUUGCAC